rnacentral:sRNA from 12 species
AAAGUCCUGCUCCUAUGCGAAGGCCUUAGUUCCACUUUGGCGGUUUAUGUAGCAUAAGCGGGGCUUU